UUGGUGAUAGUUCUUAUGGAUGACCAAACUAGUGCCAAUCAGAAAAAUGAUGGUCAUUCUCCUACAGAAGAUGAUGUUGACAUCAACAUUGAUGAUACCAAUGUGAGCGAUCCUGCGUCCAUAUUUAAUUCAUCUGCGACAUAAUUUGCUAGUGUUGAUGACGAACCGGUUAUUACUGUGGAUAUUUAUGAUCUAAGCAAUUUGGGUAAUCUUGAAAAUAAAUUGAGGGAUAUAUUAGUGGAAAAGGGGCCUAAAAGGAAAGAAGAAAACACUAAAUAUUCUUUGGAUGAAAAUUCAAGACAUUUUUCAUAUACGCAUUACUCAAGAAAUAUGUGCAAUUGAGAAGUGCAUGAUAGGAAAUGGUCAGUUAUUUCAAAAGGCGCAAAAAAAGUGUUUUCAUUGUGA
rnacentral:rRNA from 1 species